UGCGAGCGUGACGGCGCGAGCAGGUGCGAAAGCAGGUCAUAGUGAUCCGGUGGUUCUGAAUGGAAGGGCCAUCGCUCAACGGAUAAAAGGUACUCCGGGGAUAACAGGCUGAUACCGCCCAAGAGUUCAUAUCGACGGCGGUGUUUGGCACCUCGAUGUCGGCUCAUCACAUCCUGGGGCUGAAGUAGGUCCCAAGGGUAUGGCUGUUCGCCAUUUAAAGUGGUACGCGAGCUGGGUUUAGAACGUCGUGAGACAGUUCGGUCCCUAUCUGCCGUGGGCGCUGGAGAACUGAGGGGGGCUGCUCCUAGUACGAGAGGACCGGAGUGGACGCAUCACUGGUGUUCGGGUUGUCAUGCCAAU
rnacentral:rRNA from 1 species